CAUGAAAUGUGAUAGUAUGGAAAUCUGGUACAUGGUCUAUGAAAUAACAUCAUGGGGUUCUAUGACAAUGAAAAAUAUUACAAGUUUUUUCUUCAAGAUGAAAUUAAAUGCAUUGAGAGACUACAGUGUUCUGUGGUGAAGAUCCAGGACUAUAUUAGAUUAUGACCUAAAAAUUCCAAAAUACUUGCUUGUGGUGGUGAUGGUUGUAUGUGUGUGUGUGUGUGAGAGAGAGAAUGUGCAGGGUUAGGCUAAGAUGCUAACAUUGGUUCAGUUGCUAAGUCAUGUCUGACUUCCUUCAACCCCAUGGACUGUAGCAUGGCAGGCUUCACAGUGUUCUCCAGGCAAGAUUACGGGAGUGGGUUGCCAUUUCCUUCUCUAGGUUAUCUUCCGGGAUCAGGGGUCAAAGCCAUGUCUCCUACAUUGGCACGCUGUGUCUUUACGACUGAGCCACUAAGGAAGCCCUAUGCUAACUUUUUUUUUUUUUUUUUUGAAAGUUGCUCAGUCAUGUCUGACCCUUAGCAACAAUUCUCCAGGCCAGAGUGGGUAGCCUUUCCCUUCUCCAGGGGAUCUUCCCAACCCAGGGAUUGAACCCAGGUCUCCCACAUUGCAGGCGGAUUCUUUACCAGCUGAGCUACAAGGGAAGCCCAAGAAUACUGAAGUGGGUAGCCUGUCCCUUCUCCAGCAGACCUUCCCGACCCAGGAAUCGAAUUGGGGUCUCCUGCAUUGGGAUGCAGGGGACUGGUGGGCUGCAGUCCAUGGGGUCUCGAAGAGUCAGACACGACUGAGCAACUUCACUUUCACUUUUUACUUUCAUGCAUUGGAGAAGGAAAUGGCAACCCACUCCAGUAUUCUUGCCUAGAGAAUCCCAGGGAUGGGGGAGCCUGGUGGGCUGCCAUCUAUGGGGUCGCACAGAGUCGGACAUGACUGAAGCGACUCAGCAGCAGCAGCAGCAGCAUUGCAGGUCUGAUGUUAUCUUCUCCAUCAUCAAAUCUCACUGUGGUGUCUGCGCUCCUCAUUAGUGAUUUUCUUUGCUUGUCUUAUGUAUAUCCAAUUGUGUCUUUAUCAUCUUGAUUUCCCCUGAAAUGAGUAAUUACGUGUGGCACAGGUGCUUAAUAUUUCAUAAAAGAAAUUACUUUUCACUUGUCAGCUUCACAGAGUGGCUUCCAGAUUAUUUUGGGGGCUUAUCUCAAUUCUCAGGAGCUCACUCAUGAAGUACAUGUGAACUGAGAACUCAACACCAG
ensembl:lncRNA